rnacentral:lncRNA from 1 species
AGGAAGAAGGAUGGACCUUUUGAAGGUAUGUCUAAUAUGCUCAUUAUUGAAACAACUUCCUCUAAGAGAAAGUCUUCUUUCAGAAGAAGCCUGUGAAGAAGCAAAAGAAUGAGAUCAAGCCCAAGAAGCAGAUUCCAAAGAAGGGCAACGAUAAGGAAAAGUGUUUCCAUUGCAAUAUCGAAGGCCAUUGAAGAAGAAACUCUUCAGCCUACUUGGCAACUAUCA